rnacentral:rRNA from 1 species
UACGUAGGGGGCAAGCGUUGUCCGGAUUUAUUGGGCGUAAAGAGCGUGUAGGCGGCUUUACAGGUCAGCUGUGAAAACUCGAGGCUCAACCUCGAGACGUCGGUUGAAACCGUAAGGCUAGAGUCCGGAAGAGGAGAGUGGAAUUCCCGGUGUAGCGGUGAAAUGCGCAGAUAUCGGGAAGAACACCCGUGGCGAAGGCGGCUCUCUGGGACGGUACUGACGCUGAGACGCGAAAGCGUGGGGAGCGAACAGG